rfam:Nippostrongylus brasiliensis genome assembly, scaffold: NBR_contig0000886
AUUGGGUACGGAGACAUCACACCUCACACCUAUCUGGGCCGACUGAUCGGUUCCAUAUGUGCGCUAGCCGGUGUGCUCACAAUUGCACUGCCGGUUCCUGUAAGUGCAUGCCAU